AAGUCGUAACAAGGUUUCCGUAGGUGAACCUGCGGAAGGAUCAUUACCGAGUAAGGGUCUCUCAGGCCCGAUCUCCCACCCUUUGUGUACCUACCUUUGUUGCUUUGGCGGGCCCGCUGGGGCAACCCACCGUCGGCUUCGGCUGGCGAGCGCCCGCCAGAGACCAUCCAAACUCUGUUUAUCAGUGUCGUCUGAGAAAGAACACAAUAGUUAAAA
rnacentral:misc_RNA from 1 species